rnacentral:rRNA from 1 species
GUAGGGAAUUUUCGUCAAUGGGGGGAACCCUGAACGAGCAAUGCCGCGUGAGUGAAGACGGUUUUCGGACUGUAAAGCUCUGUUGUAAGAGAAAAACGGCCGACAUAGGGAAUGAUGUCGGAGUGAUGGUAUCUUACCAGAAAGUCACGGCUAACUACGUGCCAGCAGCCGCGGUAAUACGUAGGUGGCGAGCGUUAUCCGGAAUGAUUGGGCGUAAAGGGUGCGUAGGCGGUACGGUAAGUCUGUAGUAAAAGGCGGCAGCUCAACUGUCGUAGGCUAUGGAAACUGUCGAACUAGAGUGCAGAAGAGGGCGAUGGAACUCCAUGUGUAGCGGUAAAAUGCGUAGAUAUAUGGAAGAACACCAGUGGCGAAGGCGGUCGCCUGGUCUGUAACUGACGCUGAAGCACGAAAGCGUGGGGAGCAAAUAGGAUUAGAAACCCUAGUAGUCC